rnacentral:tRNA from 1 species
UCCUUGGUGGCUCAGAUGGUAAAGAAUCUGCCUGAAAUACAGGAGACCCAGGUUCAAACCCUGGGUCAGGAA